UAUUUGGAGGGCUUCUACUACCAUGCAAUCUGAAAAGACCUCGAAGAACCUGACAAUCAAUCAAUGUGGGGAACCAAAUUCCUAGUCAGCAAUUAUGAAGAAUUCUCAUCAUAGUAUAAAAAUUUGAAACAAGAACAAAUCGAGUAUAAUGAUGAUUUCUUCCAAUUCUCAAUGCCAUUCUCAAAUGUGAGGAAUUUAUGAAUUCCGAAGAACAAAUCCAGCAUCCACUAGAAGGAAUAUUUAAGACGAUAUUAUAGAUGAAGACAACAAACAAAAAGACAAUGGAUCAAGGUGUGAGUUAAUUAGAUGGAUUGGGACAAAUGAUUCAAGAUUAAAGGGUGAGAUGAGGGACAUCAUGGCAAAUUUAGCCCACAAUAUGAAGAAAGUGUAGUAUGCAAAGAUAUGGAGUUCCAUGAAGAUAGGAUAUUCCAAUCUGUGGGCUUUCAUCAUCAACUUCUGGGAGACCAAAACUGAUGUGUGAUAAGGGCAUGUUGUGGUGGACGUGCGUGGAUAUCUGAACCUGGCGGUGAAUUGUUCCCAAGCAGAGGGACUGAUGCAACCCAAAGUCGGCUAUGAUUGGAUUUGAUGAUUGUUGGGUCAAUUUGGGGUGUCAAUCGUGUAAUAAAUGUCUUUAAGUCCACGAAAAGACGUUGAUGUUCAGUUUUAUUGGUUUAGUAGUUUUUACUAGCUUUCUACAACUAGGUGUACUACAUUUGGAGUGGCAUGCUACAGUAACAUUCCUAUAUCCUCUUUUUGAAUUUGUUGAUAUUCUUCUUAUUUUCUACUUUUGGACUAGCGUGCUAUAGAAACCUUUCUAUAUCUUAUCAUUUAAUUUGUUACUAUUUCUUUUUCAACUUUCUACUUUUCACUCUCUUGCUACAAAUCCUACCACCCCGAGUCAUUCUCUCCCCUUAAUUCAAUUGUCAUCAUUAUAUCUUUCAAGAGCUCUGAUGCAUGCAUUAACAAGUGUUAAUAAGUGUGGAUAAACUCCUUUAUUAGGAGAGUUAAGAGAAUAAAUAUGCUGUGCUAGUUAUCCUCAUCGCAUAUGUAAAGAAAAGCAUGUAUAAAUAGGUGUAUGGAAGGAUGUGAGUUUUAAGAACAAAGUGUUAGGAUAGUAGAUAGAUUAUCCAGUUAUAAAUACAAUUGUAUAGUAGAUCUUAGAUUUGAUUAUAGUAGAUUAUCUCCUAAGAUAUAUUAAGAGUGCACAUAUGUGAGCUUAUUAUUAAUGACACACACACACACACACGAAUGUACGCAUACGUAUUUCUACUUAUAAUUCUCUACAAUAUUCUCCUUAAGAUUAUCAUGGUGUCAAAGCCAACAUCACAUCCUGUGUUUGAGCGAGGGAAGGAGCGACCUGUGGAGAGGGCUACUUGGACAAUCAGAGUGCAUCCAUCAUUCUUGGAAAGGACUACUUGGACAACCAAAGUGCAGUUGCCAUGGUGGAAAAGGGCUACUUGGAAAAGAGGCUAGAGUGAGUGCCAACACUUAGUGGGCUGCCUUGGACUUUAGCUAGUGUGGUGAUGUGUUAUGAUCCUUGGUGUUUUAAGGGCCUAGCUUGAUGCAUUCCAUCAAUCCUGGGGCUUGUGGCGUAUUGAUUAGGUUUUUAUUUUUUAUUUUUUAUUUUAUUUUUUUAAGGGCUUUGUGCACCGACAAGUCCGAUUAGAAAGCCUUGGCACAUUAAAAACUGGUUUGGUCCAAAAUCAUCCUGAUUUUGGGGUGCGUGCCACCCAAAAUUCCUCUCCAAAUGAGGGACUUCAGGAAUAUCGACCUGGUCUUGUUAAUCUGU